AGAGUUUGAUCCUGGCUCAGAAUGAACGCCGGCGGCGCGCUUAACACAUGCAAGUCGAACGAGAUCUUCGGAUCUAGUGGCAGACGGGUGAGUAACGCGUGGGAACCUGCCCAGUAGUAGAGAAUAACUUGGGGAAACUUAAGCUAAUACUUUAUACGUCCUUCGGGAGAAAGCUUUAUGCGCUAUUGGAUGGGCCCGCGUUAGAUUAGUUUGUUGGUGAGGUAACGGCUCACCAAGGCGGCGAUCUAUAGCUGGUCUGAGAGGAUGAUCAGCCACACUGGGACUGAGACACGGCCCAGACUCCUACGGGAGGCAGCAGUGGGGAAUAUUGGACAAUGGGGGCAACCCUGAUCCAGCGAUGCCGCGUGAGUGAUGAAGGCCCUAGGGUUGUAAAACUCUUUCGUCAGGGAAGAUAAUGACGGUACCUGAAGAAGAAGAUCCGGCUAACUCCGUGCCAGCAGCCGCGGUAAUACGGAGGGGUCUAGCGUUAUUCGGAAUUACUGGGCGUAAAGCGAGCGUAGGCGGAUUUGUAAGUUGGAGGUGAAAUCCCAGAGCUUAACUCUGGAACUGCCUUCAAAACUACAUUUCUUGAGUUUGGUAGAGGAGAGUGGAAUUCCUAGUGUAGAGGUGAAAUUCGUAGAUAUUAGGAGGAACACCAGUGGCGAAGGCGACUCUCUGGGCCAAUACUGACGCUGAGGUUCGAAAGCAUGGGUAGCGAACAGGAUUAGAUACCCUGGUAGUCCAUGCAGUAAACGAUGAGUGCUAGAUGUUGGGAAUUUAAAUUUCCNGUAUCGCAGUUAACGCGUUAAGCACUCCGCC
rnacentral:rRNA from 1 species